rnacentral:rRNA from 1 species
GAUGAACGCUGGCGGCGUGCCUAAUACAUGCAAGUCGAACGCUGGAGGUCUAGCUUGCUAGAUCGAAGGAGUGGCGAACGGGUGAGUAAUACAUAAGCAACCUACCCACGAAGACUGGGAUAAUCUCUGGAAACGGGGACUAAUACCGGAUAGGUAAUCGGAAGGCAUCUUCUGAUUAUUAAAGGUUAAAAACACUGGUGGAUGGGCUUAUGGCGCAUUAGUUAGUUGGUGAGGUAACGGCCCACCAAGACGAUGAUGCGUAGCCGGCCUGAGAGGGUGAACGGCCACAUUGGGACUGAGACACGGCCCAGACUCCUACGGGAGGCAGCAGUAGGGAAUUUUCGGCAAUGGGGGAAACCCUGACCGAGCAACGCCGCGUGAGUGAUGACGGCCUUCGGGUUGUAAAGCUCUGUUGUAAGGGAAGAACGGUAGAUAGAGAAUAUCUAAAUGACGGUACCUUAACCAGAAAGCCGCGGCUACA